rnacentral:lncRNA from 1 species
AACGUCUCUGUGUACUUUAUGAAACACUGAUCAUGAAGCUAUCUGAAUGCCUUAGAGUUAACAAUAAAUAAAUAAAACCUCUCAUACUAGAGUCUUCCUCUGUAGGUACUGUGUCUGAGUCACAUGAUGGCAGCCACAGCUGGAUCUGCCUGGGACACCAAAUUCUUGUUCUGACAUGAGGAUUGUGUCUGACCAGCAGUGAUAUCUAUUUGAAGCAAGGAAUAUCAUCCUUCCAAGCCAGCACAACCAACCCUAACCUGUUCUUCAAGCAUGUUUUAAAUGAAGGACAACUUCAAGCUCUUCCCUAAGCAAGUCAUCCCAGAUACCAAAUACGACCUGACUUGUUAGAGCUCUACAUAAAGCAGGGUUGCCUUUGACUUUGUCAGAGUUGUGAGAGCUGAGCACUUCGGAUCCAAUUUUCAAGUCAAACCGUUGGUAAAGAGGACCUGAUAAUUACUACUUACCUAUUACAAGUCUAACAAGAACUAUUUGGCUGCCCUAAUUGUGAAAGCAUCUUUCUUAUCACCACAGACUUCUGCCUCUAUUUGCAAAGUUAUCAUUUUACGAUAAACAGGAAAGGAUCCUACAACUAAACAUUUACCGCCCACUUUUUUUUUUUUUUUUUUCUUUCUAAUAUUUUUCUAUUAUUUUAGAAAAAAACAAGAGGUAUAAAUAAGUAAAACUCACCAUAACAUU